GAGUGGAAGAAUCAGAGUGCUUUCUUUGAAAAUUGGCUUGACGUGACUCUUCAAGGAUCAUCUGGAGGAAAAAUACAAGUAUCUCUUCAAACAAGUCGCUGAACCCACAGAUUUAUGUGACCAACGAAGCCUGAGUCUUUUGCUUUACGAUGCAGUCCAGAUCCCUUGGCAGCUGGGUGAGGUAGCUUCAUUUGGAGGCUGCAACAUUGAACCAAGUAUCCGCAGUUGCUUCCAACAUGGCCAGAACAAACCAGAGAUUGACGUUGAACGCUUUGUCGAGUGGAUGAGAUUGGAGCCUCAGUCCAUGGUGUGGCUGCCUGUUCGACACCGUGUGGCAGCUGCUGAAACUGCAAAACAU